GACGAACGCUGGCGGCGUGCCUAAUACAUGCACGUAGGACGCAGUUGCGAACGGGUGAGUAACGCGUAGGUAACUACCUAUUAGAGGGGGAUAACUAUUGGAAACAAUAGCUAAUACCGCAUACUAGUAGAUGGACCUGCGUUGGAUUAGCUAGUAGGUAGGGUAAUGGCCUACCUAGGCAACGAUACAUAACCGACCUGAGAGGGUGAUCGGCCAGACUGGGAAUGAGAAACGGCCCAGACGCCUACGGGAGGCAGCAGUAGGGAAUCUGCGGCAAUGGUGGGAACCCGUACCUAGCAACGCGGCGGGAGUGAAGAAGGUUUUCGGAUCGUAAAGCUCUGUUGUUAAGGAAGCGGUACUUAACCAGAAAGGGACGGCUAACUACGUGCCAGCAGCCGCGGUAAUAC
rnacentral:rRNA from 1 species